AGUGAACGCUGGCGGCGUGCUUAACACAUGCAAGUCGAACGAGAACGGAAUAUAGCUUGCUAUAUUUGUCAGCUAAGUGGCGCACGGGUGAGUAAUGUAUAGAUAACCUGCCCUUAAGAAAGGAAUAACAGUUGGAAACGACUGCUAAUGCCCUAUAUGCCUUUAAUACAUAAGUAUGCAAGGGAAACGCUUUAGUGCUUAAGGAUGGGUCUGUAUGGUAUCAGCUUGUUGGUGAGGUAAUGGCUCACCAAGGCUAUGACGCCUAACUGGUUUGAGAGGAUGAUAAGUCACACUGGAACUGAGACACGGUCCAGGCUCCUACGGGAGGCAGCAGUGGGGAAUAUUGCACAAUGGACGAAAGUCUGAUGCAGCAACGCCGCGUGGAGGAUGACACAUUUCGGUGCGUAAACUCCUUUUAUAUAGGAAGAUAAUGACGGUACUAUAUGAAUAAGCACCGGCUAACUCCGUGCCAGCAGCCGCCGUAA
rnacentral:rRNA from 1 species